rnacentral:rRNA from 1 species
UACGAGUGCCCCAAGCGUUAUCCGGAAUUAUUGGGCGUAAAGGGUGUGUAGGUGGUUUUGUUAGUCUUCUGUUAAAUUCUUCGGCUUAACCGGGGGUCUGCAAAAGAAAUGGCAAAACUAGAGGAUGCGAGAGGUGUGCGGAACUCAUGGUGUAGGGGUGAAAUCCGUUGAUAUCAUGGGGAACACCGAAAGCGAAGGCAGCACACUGGCGCACUCCUGACACUGAAACACGAAAGCGUGGGUAGCGAAUGGG